GUCCACGCUGUAAACGAUGGAUGCUAGCUGUUGGUCGUAUCGACCCGAUCAGUAGCGAAGCUAACGCGUUAAGCAUCCCGCCUGUGGAGUACGAGCGCAAGCUUAAAACAUAAAGGAAUUGACGGGGACCCGCACAAGCGGUGGAGUGUGUUGUUUAAUUCGAUGGUAAACGAAGAACCUUACCCAGACUUGACAUCCUUGGAAGGACUACGAAAGUAGACUGUGCCCUUGGGAGCCAAGUGACAGGUGUUGCAUGGCCGUCGU
rnacentral:rRNA from 1 species